AACGAACGCUGGCGGCGUGGAUAAGACAUGCAAGUCGAACGAGAUUAGUUUUGUAGCAAUACUAAACUAGUUUAGUGGCGCAAGGGUGCGUAACACGUGGGCAACCUGCCCGAAAGUGGGGGAUAGCUCGCUGAAAGGCGAAUUAAUACCGCAUGUGGCUAGGGGGGUAUCCUCUCAAAGCCAAAGUCGGGGCAACCUGACGCUUUCGGAUGGGCUCGCGGCCUAUCAGCUAGUUGGUGAGGUAACGGCUAACCAAGGCUAUGACGGGUAGCUGGUCUGAGAGGACGACCAGUCACACUGGAACUGAGACACGGUCCAGACACCUACGGGUGGCAGCAGUCGAGAAUUUUUCUCAAUGGGCGAAAGCCUGAAGGAGCGACGCCGCGUGGAGAUGAAGGUCUUCGGAUUGUAAACUCCUGUCAUGAGGGAACAAGGCUGCGGGUUUAACUAACCUUGCAGUUGAUAGUACUUCAAGAGGAAGAGACGGCUAACUCUGUGCCAGCAGCCGCGGUAA
rnacentral:rRNA from 1 species